UACGUAGGGUCCAAGCGUUAAUCGGAAUUACUGGGCGUAAAGCGUGCGUAGGUGGUUUGUUAAGUCUGCUGUGAAAGCCCCGGGCUCAACCUGGGAAUGGCAGUGGAUACUGGCAAGCUAGAGUGCGGUAGAGGGUAGUGGAAUUCCCGGUGUAGCGGUGAAAUGCGUAGAGAUCGGGAGGAACACCAGUGGCGAAGGCGGCUACCUGGACCAGCACUGACACUGAGGCACGAAAGCGUGGGGAGCAAACAGG
rnacentral:rRNA from 1 species